rnacentral:rRNA from 1 species
GGCGGCGUGCUUAACACAUGCAAGUCGAACGAACCCUUUGGGGAGUGGCGGACGGGUGAGUAACGCGUGAGAAUCUGCCCUCAGGAGGGGGAUAACGGUUGGAAACGACCGCUAAUACCCCAUAUGCCUACUGGUGAAAUGAAUUUCGCCUGAGGAUGAGCUCGCGUCUGAUUAGCUAGUUGGUGAGGUAAUGGCUCACCAAGGCUUCGAUCAGUAGCUGGUCUGAGAGGAUGAUCAGCCACACUGGGACUGAGACACGGCCCAGACUCCUACGGGAGGCAGCAGUGGGGAAUUUUCCGCAAUGGGCGAAAGCCUGACGGAGCAACGCCGCGUGAGGGACGAAGGCCUCUGGGCUGUAAACCUCUUUUCUCAAGGAAGAAGAUAUGACGGUACUUGAGGAAUAAGCCACGGCUAAUUCCGUGCCAGCAGCCGCGGUAAUACGGGAGUGGCAAGCGUUAUCCGGAAUUAUUGGGCGUAAAGCGUCCGCAGGCGGCUUUUCAAGUCUGCUGUUAAAACGUGGAGCUUAACUCCAUCAUGGCAGUGGAAACUGAAAGGCUUGAGUAUGGUAGGGGCAGAGGGAAUUCCCGGUGUAGCGGUGAAAUGCGUAGAUAUCGGGAAGAACACCAGUGGCGAAGGCGCUCUGCUGGGCCAUUACUGACGCUCAUGGACGAAAGCCAGGGGAGCGAAAGGGAUUAGAUACCCCUGUAGUCCUGGCCGUAAACGAUGAACACUAGGUGUCGGGGGAAUCGACCCCUUCGGUGUCGUAGCUAACGCGUUAAGUGUUCCGCCUGGGGAGUACGCACGCAAGUGUGAAACUCAAAGGAAUUGACGGGGGCCCGCACAAGCGGUGGAGUAUGUGGUUUAAUUCGAUGCAACGCGAAGAACCUUACCAGGGUUUGACAUCCUGCGAACCUCUUAGAAAUUUGAGGGUGCCUUCGGGAAUGCAGUGACAGGUGGUGCAUGGCUGUCGUCAGCUCGUGUCGUGAGAUGUUGGGUUAAGUCCCGCAACGAGCGCAACCCACGUUUUUAGUUGCCAGCAUUUAGUUGGGCACUCUAGAAAGACCGCCGGUGAUAAACCGGAGGAAGGUGUGGAUGACGUCAAGUCAUCAUGCCCCUUACACCCUGGGCUACACACGUACUACAAUGCUACGGACAAAGGGCAGCAAACUCGCGAGAGCUAGCAAAUCCCAUAAACCGUGGCUCAGUUCAGAUCGUAGGCUGCAACUCGCCUACGUGAAGUAGGAAUCGCUAGUAAUCGCAGGUCAGCAUACUGCGGUGAAUACGUUCCCGGGCCUUGUACACACCGCCCGUCACACCAUGGAAGUUGGCCAUGCCCGAAGUCGUUACUCCAACCCUUGUGGAGGAGGACGCCGAAGGUGGGGCUAAUGACUGGGGUGAAGUCGUAACAA